rnacentral:rRNA from 1 species
CCUACGGGAGGCAGCAGUGAGGAAUAUUGGUCAAUGGGCGUAAGCCUGAACCAGCCAAGUCGCGUGAGGGAUGAAGGUUCUAUGGAUCGUAAACCGCUUUUAUAUGGGAAUAAAGUGUGGGACGUGUCCUAUUUUGUAUGUAUCUUAUGAAUAAGGAUCGGCAAACUCCGUGCCAGCAGCCGCGGUAAUACGGAGGACGCGCGCGUUAUCCGGAUUUAUGGGGUUUAAAGGGGGCGUAGGCGGAAUAUAAAGUCAGCGGUAAAAAUUGCGGGUCCAACCCCGUCGUGACGUUGAAACUGAUGUUCUUGAGUGGGCGAGAGGUAUGCGGAAUGCGUGGUGUAGCGGUGAAAUGCAUAGAUAUCACGAAGAACUCCGAUUGCGAAGGCAGCAGACCGGCGCCCAACUGACGCUGAGGCACGAAAGCGUGGGUAUCAAACAGGAUUAGAUACCCGGGUAGUC